AUUGAACGCUGGCGGUAUGCCUUACACAUGCAAGUCGAACGGUAGAGGGGAAACCCUUGAGAGUGGCGAACGGGUGAGUAAUACAUCGGAACGUGCCCAGUCGUGGGGGAUAACGUAGCGAAAGCUACGCUAAUACCGCAUACGACCCGAGGGUGAAAGCGGGGGACUCGCAAGGGCCUCGCGCGAUUGGAGCGGCCGAUGGCAGAUUAGGUAGUUGGUGGGGUAAAGGCCCACCAAGCCUGCGAUCUGUAGCUGGUCUGAGAGGACGACCAGCCACACUGGGACUGAGACACGGCCCAGACUCCUACGGGGGGCAGCAGUGGGGAAUUUUGGACAAUGGGCGAAAGCCUGAUCCAGCCAUACCGCGUGCGGGAAGAAGGCCUUCGGGUUGUAAACCGCUUUUGUCAGGGAAGAAAUCUUCUGGGUUAAUACCUCGGGAGGAUGACGGUACCUGAAGAAUAAGCACCGGCUAACUACGUGCCAGCCGCCGCCGUAA
rnacentral:rRNA from 1 species